rnacentral:rRNA from 1 species
AUUGAACGCUGGCGGCAUGCUUUACGCAUGCAAGUCGAACGGUAACAGGCCGCAAGGUGCUGACGAGUGGCGAACGGGUGAGUAAUGCAUCGGAACGUGCCCAGUCGUGGGGGAUAACGCAGCGAAAGCUGUGCUAAUACCGCAUACGAUCUAUGGAUGAAAGCGGGGGACCGUAAGGCCUCGCGCGAUUGGAGCGGCCGAUGUCAGAUUAGCUAGUUGGUGGGGUAAAGGCCCACCAAGGCGACGAUCUGUAGCUGGUCUGAGAGGACGACCAGCCACACUGGGACUGAGACACGGCCCAGACUCCUACGGGAGGCAGCAGUGGGGAAUUUUGGACAAUGGGCGCAAGCCUGGUCCAGCAAUGCCGCGUGCAGGAAGAAGGCCUUCGGGUUGUAAACUGCUUUUGUGCGGAACGAAACGGUCUGGGUUAAUACCCUGGGCUAAUGACGGUACCGUAAGAAUAAGCACCGGCUAACUACGUGCCAGCAGCCGCCGUAAUAC